rnacentral:rRNA from 1 species
UGGGGAAUAUUGGACAAUGGGCGAAAGCCUGAUCCAGCCAUGCCGCGUGUGUGAAGAAGGUCUUCGGAUUGUAAAGCACUUUAAGUUGGGAGGAAGGGCAGUAAGCGAAUACCUUGCUGUUUUGACGUUACCGACAGAAUAAGCACCGGCUAACUCUGUGCCAGCAGCCGCGGUAAUACAGAGGGUGCAAGCGUUAAUCGGAAUUACUGGGCGUAAAGCGCGCGUAGGUGGUUCGUUAAGUUGAAUGUGAAAGCCCCGGGCUCAACCUGGGAACUGCAUCCAAAACUGGCGAGCGAGAGUAGGGCAGAGGGUGGUGGAAUUUCCGGUGUGGCGGGGAAAUGCGUAGAGAUAGGAAGGAACACCAGUGGCGAAGGCGACCACCUGGGCUCAUACUGACACUGAGGUGCGAAAGCGUGGGGAGCAAACAGG